GAUGAAGAACGCAGCGAAAUGCGAUAAGUAAUGUGAAUUGCAGAAUUCAGUGAAUCAUCGAAUCUUUGAACGCACCUUGCGCUCCUUGGUAUUCCGAGGAGCAUGCCUGUUUGAGUGUCAUUAAAUUCUCAACUAUUAUCAGCUUUAGCUGAUAAUGGCUUGGAUAUGGGGGUUUAUUUUGCUGGCUUCUUCACAGAUUGUCAGCUCCCCUUAAAUGCAUUAGCCGGUGCCCCGCGUGGACUGUCUAUUGGUGUGAUAAUUAUCUACGCCGUGGACAUCUACAAUCAUAUGGGUUUGCACUGCUUCCAACCGUCUGUUUAUUCAGACAAUACAUGACAAUUUGACCUCAAAUCAGGUAGGACUACCCGCUGAACUUAAGCAUAUCAAUAAGCGGAGGA
rnacentral:misc_RNA from 1 species